AAUGAACGCUAGCGGCAGGCCUAACACAUGCAAGUCGAACGGAUCCUUCGGGAUUAGUGGCGGACGGGUGAGUAACGCGUGGGAACAUACCCUUUGGUACGGAAUAGCCUCGGGAAACUGGGAGUAAUACCGUAUGUGGUCGAGAGACGAAAGAUUUAUCGCCAAAGGAUUGGCCCGCGUUGGAUUAGGUAGUUGGUGGGGUAAUGGCCUACCAAGCCGACGAUCCAUAGCCGGGUUGAGAGGAUGAUCAGCCACACUGGGACUGAGACACGGCCCAGACUCCUACGGGAGGCAGCAGUGGGGAAUCUUAGACACUGGGGGAAACCCUGAUCUAGCCAUGCCGCGUGAUCGAUGAAGGCCUUAGGGUUGUAAAGAUCUUUCAGGUGGGAAGAUAAUGACUGUACCACCAGAAGAAGCCCCGGCUAACUCCGUGCCAGCAGCCGCCGUAA
rnacentral:rRNA from 1 species